rnacentral:rRNA from 1 species
GAGUUUGAUCCUGGCUCAGGAUGAACGCUAGCGGCAGGCCUAACACAUGCAAGUCGAGGGGUAACAGGGGAGCUUGCUCCCGCUGACGACCGGCGCACGGGUGCGUAACGCGUAUGGAACCUACCCUCCGCAGGGGGAUAGCCCGCCGAAAGGCGGAUUAAUACCCCAUGGCUCCGAGCCCCCGCAUGGGGGCUGGGAUAAAGCUUAGGCGGCGGAGGAUGGCCAUGCGUGCCAUUAGCUAGUUGGCGGGGUAACGGCCCACCAAGGCGAUGAUGGCUAGGGGGUCUGAGAGGAUGGUCCCCCACACUGGUACUGAGACACGGACCAGACUCCUACGGGAGGCAGCAGUGAGGAAUAUUGGUCAAUGGGCGGAAGCCUGAACCAGCCAUGCCGCGUGCAGGAAGACGGCCCUACGGGUUGUAAACUGCUUUUGCGCGGGAAGAAUAACCCCCUCGUGAGGGGGGAUGCCGGUACCGCGCGAAUAAGGAUCGGCUAACUCCGUGCCAGCAGCCGCGGUAC